ensembl:processed_transcript Gm11476 predicted gene 11476
CUUAUGCAUGGAGUCAUAAAGUAGGUCACACACGUUGCAUGCUCUGCUCUGCGUCUGGCCUUUCUCAUAGGCCGUGCUUUCAAGGUUCAGCCAGGUGGUUCGCUGCAAGGAUAGCAGAGGUAUCCUGGACUACAGAGCAACACCCUUUCUCGUGCCUGGAGGACCAGAAGUUCAAGGUCAUCAUUGACUGCACCGUGGUUUGGAUGCCUUUUUGAGGGCACUCUCUGGACACCUCUAAAGCCACACUGUGUGCACCUGCCUCCUAGUCCCCCAGCCCACUACCAUCCCAACUCACAGCUCUUGUUCACUGCACAGGCUCUGACACGCAGUGAGCACACACAAGAUGCUUGCUGGCAGCAGCUGUGAUGACGGGGACAGGUGGAUGGUGUCCUCAUCAGCUUCCUGCCCAGCCGCUCGGGAACACAAAUGCCAGCACCCAGGCUCCUGAGGCCAUAGCGCGUUCCUCAAAGAGCUCCUAGAACUGUGGCUCCCUAAAAGCCAAAGGACACACAUUAAACAUCGUGGGAGGACCUGGUACCCCACAGAGACUACAGGCUUGGCCACUGUUGCCCAUGUACCAGUAGGCUACCGGACUUGUGGUUUCUGGGAGACAGCAUGUAAAAUUUACUUCCACGGAAAAUGUUGGUGUUGAAUGAGACCUUCACACCUGUGUGUGCACGGUGGCUUCUCAGUGACAGCUGGUGGCAGCAGCUACAAGACUGGCUCUAGGAUCUCCAUCUCCCAAGCCAUUGCAGCUGUUGGACAUCAAGGGACCCACGUGGACCCCACAGUGCAAAAGCCAGAUCCUGUGGGCUCAUGCUGGGGUCACGUGAGGUCACACCCUCAAAGGAGGAUGUACUGUCUGCAAGCUCUGCUGAGUGGAGACCCCAGCCUGGAGCCCCAAGUGACCUGGCAGUGAACUAACAAGCCCAGGCCAGCACCAAGCACCUGGGGUCUGGCAGGGCCUUCUGGAGGGCAGCCUGUUGCGCCAUGUGCCAGAGGGAAUGUCUGCCCCAGCUGUAGGCUGGCCUGUGUAUCUCCAGGAUGAAGCUCAACUCCUGAGUCAAGACAUUCAGACCUGCUCUCACCCCUUGUAUGGUAGACAGCUGCCACUCUAUCAGAUCGAAAUUCUUGUUUGCAACAUCACAGCUAUGACACAUCCGUCCAAUUUUAGCAUAGAGUCCAACCAGUGCAGGCUCUCCCCAAGGAGCCAGCAGCUGGAGUGCCCCAAGGCAACUUAAGCAAGGGGAAACCAAUUUUCAUUUUUACCCAAGUACCUACGCCACACCCAUUUUGCUGUGAUCUGCUAGACUUAACUAGUCAUUCAUGGGGCCUGUGAGGCUCAAAGAGGACAUACUUCCCUGGAGUCUUGAACUCAUCCUCCUGCAUCGCCCCUAAGGAGGAGGGCUACAGGUGUGUACAACCACAACCAGCCACUUUGCUUUUCCCAGGGUCUCUAGGUCAAAUUCCCCGCCUGAAGAGCCUUUAACAGCUAUGUUUCGGCUUGUAGUGGAGAGCAGCCCUUUAAUCCCAGCACCUAGGAGCAGAGGCAGGAGAAUUGGAGAGUUGGAGGCCGGCCUGCUCUGCAGAGUGAGUUCCAGGACAGCCAGGGUUAUGAAAUAGCCAGACCCUGCCUCACUGUGCCUGACAUUGCAUCUCACCAAGUAUCGAGAGGUCUGUCCCUCAUGCACAGUGAGGGAAGAGCCUAAACUUGGCUGGAGAACCCUGAAUGUUUUCCUAAGAGGUAAAGUGCUGGUUUCAGCCAUCAGGCAGGCCCCACUGAAUAGGCUGAAGAAGGGCACAGCCUGCCCUGUAUCAAAGCAUACUUUUUUAUUAUAGUAGACUCGGACGACGACAGAACGUUGCUUAUGGACAGUCAAGCUUGACUUACAGGGUGCCUACCGGAGAGCUAGUUUGCCCCAGAUAGAUCAAAGGCCCCACCAGCCACUCUUUAGACCUCAUAGCUGCUGCUUCAGAAGGUGGAGCCACACACGUGCUUAAAAUAAAACCACCGAGCUC